rnacentral:lncRNA from 1 species
CCUGAUGUUUGUUUGACAAGAAAGUAUCGAUGUAAAUCCAAUUGAGAGUUUUAUUCUGAACAUGUUCAAAGGAUUUUUUUAACUGAUUUUAAAUCUUCUCUUUUAAAUCAUACGCUCAAAACAUAAGAACUGUAAGUUAUUUCGAAGGCAUGCUCACACUGAAGCUGUUUUUUGAUAUGUAAGGACUAUUCUUAAAUCAAUUAUGUCAAUCAUUGGUCAUUGUUUUGUUUGUUGUCUUAAUUUUCAGUUUAAAACCUAUAUAGCCAAUAUAAAUAUUCUAUGAAAUAGUGCAUGAGUCCUACAUGCUAGUACAGCUAUAUUUCCCAGUAUCUUGAUUGUUUGACAGAAAGUAUUCAAGAACAC